AAACACGUCACUUCUUCCGGUUAACACCAGAAAGGUAACAUAAGACAAGAUUUUAAUUCAUUUUUCUAUCUUAAUACUACUUAACAUUGUCUAAUCCACCUUAAUGAACAUGCGAUAACACAUUCUGUAGGCUGCUUAUACAGCUAUAAUAAGGAAUACAAGUGCUGACAAUAGGGAUGGACUAGAUUGGCUCCUAAAGUUAUAUAGAGAAGUUGGAUCAGUGCAAGAAGAGACAAGGGUCUUAUGUAAGAAUGUGGAUUCGAAUUAACAUUAAUCUUUCACUGCCGAUGUCUUCAUAUCUAUAAAAGCUUGCGAGAAGCAACGAAACGGUUUCAUGCAUUUUUAGACAAUAGAAACACGUCACUUCUUCCGGUUAACACCAGAAAGGUAACAUAAGACAAGAUUUUAAUUCAUUUUCUAUCUUAAUACUACUUAACAUUGUCUAAUCCACCUUAAUGAACAUGCGAUAACACAUUCUGUAGGCUGCUUAUACAGCUAUAAUAAGGAAUACAAGUGCUGACAAUAGGGAUGGACUAGAUUGGCUCCUAAAGUUAUAUAGAGAAGUUGGAUCAGUGCAAGAAGAGACAAGGGUCUUAUGUAAGAAUGUGGAUUCGAAUUAACAUUAAUCUUUCACUGCCGAUGUCUUCAUAUCUAUAAAAGCUUGCCCAAGUUUAAGUUCAUAUACUUUUAUGACCUUU
rnacentral:lncRNA from 1 species